rnacentral:rRNA from 1 species
AUAUUGGUCAAUGGACGCAAGUCUGAACCAGCCAUGCCGCGUGCAGGAUGACGGCCCUACGGGUUGUAAACUGCUUUUGUACGGGAAAAAAACCUUCUACGUGUAGAAGACUGAUGGUACCGUAAGAAUAAGGAUCGGCUAACUCCGUGCCAGCAGCCGCGGUAAUACGGAGGAUCCAAGCGUUAUCCGGAUUCAUUGGGUUUAAAGGGUGCGUAGGCGGAAUAGUAAGUCAGUGGUGAAAGCCCGCAGCUCAACUGCGGAACUGCCAUUGAUACUGCUAAUCUUGAGUACAUUUGAAGUGGGCGGAAUAUGACAUGUAGCGGUGAAAUGCUUAGAUAUGUCAUAGAACACCGAUUGCGUAGGCAGCUCACUAAACUGUAACUGACGCUGAGGCACGAAAGCGUGGGGAUCAAACAGG